AGGGUCGUAGCUCAAUUAGGUAGAGCAGCGGUCUCCAAAACCGCAGGUUGCGGGUUCGAUUCCUGCCGGCCCUG
rnacentral:tRNA from 1 species